ensembl:snoRNA
UUUCCCAUUUAUUUGCUGCCAUUCUUUCAGUAGUAUGAGCAGUUAUACGCAUGGGAGACAUUAAGAUUAGUCCUGUAAAUUAAGAUGAAAACAUAAUUUCAUCUGUGUUACAGGGUCUAUCACAUUA